AGGCCGGGCCGUGACUGGCGCGUGGGGAUGGAGAACCAUCGGGAAGCGGUCCCGUCAUGAGGACGCACGCCGAGCGCCUGGGCCUUCCGC
rfam:Micromonospora sp. HK10 genomic scaffold Scaffold151, whole genome shotgun sequence.